CUCCCCACCUUUGUACCCAGCACAGAGUCAUGGGAUAAGGCCCUUCUCUCUGGCCUCCUCUCCAACCUGCAGUUCCCUGUCCAUCUUGGCCAAGUUCAUCUGAUCUGCAGAUGGGGAGCCUGCCUGGCACGAAUCCUAUGGUCCCUGCUUCCUUUGGGAAAUCAAGAGCAAAGCUCGCUCCCAACUCAUGGUGUUCCCCAAGCAGAAUAGAGGCCGGCUGUGUGCGUUGAAGAAAUGAAUGAAGUGAUCGGGAGCUGAGUGCCGGCGGAGACCGGCCCCCCUGGGCAUAUGUGAAAACCUGAGGACCCCACUGAACUUUCAAAAUCCAAAGAAGAGAAUCCUGAGGAAAGAUCUGUAUCAUUUGCUGGGGUGUAAGAUGUGCAAGGAUAUUAACAAUUUAACAAACACAUAUCAAAGGGAGGUAUAAGUACGAUUUUCCAUGAUAAUUUUCUAUUGGAAGCAUGAAUGAUACAUAGACAUAUAUUUUCUUGAUCUGGUUUAGUAAAGUAUUAUUAAUAUUAGAUAACCAAAUUCCUACUGUAACCCAGAGGGCUAAAUUGUAUGAACAAUGUUGUCUGAUGUCCUGGUUGCCAGGCACUGUGGACAGCCACCCCAAAGUCCUCCCCACCUCUUCUUCCUGGCCCUCUCCAGGCAGAUGGGAUGGAAACUCAGAACUUGACUGACAUUCCC
rnacentral:lncRNA from 1 species